CGAAGGGACUCUGGGCGUCUGAGGCCCUGAUCCGGGCGGGCCUUCAGGAUGUUAGCAGUCCCCGUCCGGUUGAAGGUAGGAAGCCGAAAACCCGAGUGGGGGACGAACAGACUUACCUCCUGUCCCGCAAAAGAUCCACUAGAUCGUCGUCUCCAAAACCUGAGAGACCGCGAACGGAUUCCAGAGCCGCAGCGUUGUCUCAGACCUGGCGUUCAGAAAGAUUCUAGAGAGCACGGGCAGGUCCCGGAGGUCUCAGACCCGCAGGCCUGCGGGGCGGGGGCGGGGUGGCGCCCAGGACGACUCUCCGGGCUCAGCUUGGCUGCCUGCCUCCUUCUCAAACAAUGAGUACCUACUGUGUGCAGAAGCAGCAGGACAGCCUGUCAUCACUGGGAAAGAGGCCAGAAGAGCCAUUUGGCCAGGGUCUCCAAUUUAGGCUUUCAACAUUAUCUCUAAAUAAGGUUAUACAUUACGUCGGCUCCACUGGCUGAUGGGAUCAAAGACCCUCCUUGUAUAUCCUUAAACCUGUACUCUAAUACCAGGCCACUGUGCCUGUGGAGCACUGUAAGUUCCUACCUUUUAAUAAAUUUUAUAAUUAUCUUGUGAGCA
rnacentral:antisense_RNA from 1 species